ACCAAUCACUGUAACCUUCAACUGAAGCAAUUUGUUCUGAUGAGAAAGUAUAUUUUCUUUUCAACUCUACUUUUACAUUUCAGCUGUAACUUUGUAGAAAUGAAGACAGAUGAAGAUAAUGAAGAAAUGUAGAUAAUGAAGGGUACCAUACUAAUAACAUGGUACUAAUUUACAGUAUAGUCACGUUUCUUCCUAUCUUCCACCCCCUCCUUUCUUUGUUUUCAUUUUUGCAUUUUGAAACAGCAUCUCACAGGGAUCACACCCAGGAACAACACUGCACGAGCUAAAGUAAUUGUUUCUGGAAGUUCUUCUUCAAGACAACAUCUGAGAAACAUGGAACAUUUACUCAAUGAUAAUCUUCUGAAGUAUUUUACCCAGUAUGCUUUAAUGGAGGGUAGCACCAGUGCACUGUCCAUUGCUGGGCUGAAAAAUCUACUUCAGAAUCAAUUUGCACAGUACCUGAAGGAUUCAUUCUCACUUGAUAACAUAGUUAAAUCACUGGACAAAAAUAAUGAUGGAAGCAUCAGCUUUGAUGAGUUUGUGAUGCUUAUAAAAAAGAUAACUGGUACAGGACAGUAAGGCAUCUGCAAGAAUGAACACCACUGCUUUGAGGGAGAAGAACCUGGCGCAUGUGUACAUUAUAGGUACACCUAAACCCACAGAUUUGUUAAGAUUUUAAAACAUACAGAAUAAAGAUCUGAUGUAUAACAAAUUAUGCCUUGUAUUGUGUUUCCUGCACACUCGCUAGCCACCCUUUCCAGCUAAGCUGCCU